UUAUGGCCAUAUCAUAUUGAAACGAGCGUUCUUGUAUGAUCACGGAAGUUAAGAAACGUUGAGUCUGGUCAGUAACUAGAUGGGUGAGUGCCUGGGAAUACCAGGUGCUGCAA